rnacentral:rRNA from 1 species
AUUGAACGCUGGCGGCAGGCUUAACACAUGCAAGUCGAGCGGAGUGAUGGUGCUUGCACUAUCACUUAGCGGCGGACGGGUGAGUAAUGCUUAGGAAUCUGCCUAUUAGUGGGGGACAACAUCUCGAACGGGAUGCUAAUACCGCAUACGUCCUACGGGAGAAAGCAGGGGAUCACUUGUGACCUUGCGCUAAUAGAUGAGCCUAAGUCGGAUUAGCUAGUUGGUGGGGUAAAGGCAUACCAAGGCGACGAGCUGUAGCGGGUCUGAGAGGAUGAUCCGCCACACUGGGACUGAGACACGGCCCAGACUCCUACGGGAGGCAGCAGUGGGGAAUAUUGGACAAUGGGGGGAACCCUGAUCCAGCCAUGCCGCGUGUGUGAAGAAGGCCUUAUGGUUGUAAAGCACUUUAAGCGAGGAGGAGGCUCUUUUGGUUAAUACCCAAGAUGAGUGGACGUUACUCGCAGAAUAAGCACCGGCUAACUCUGUGCCAGCCGCCGCCGUAAAAC